rnacentral:rRNA from 1 species
UGGGGAAUAUUGCGCAAUGGACGAAAGUCUGACGCAGCGACGCCGCGUGUGGGAUGAAGCUCUUCGGGGUGUAAACCACUGUUGCCCGGGACGAACUUCUGGUUUGUCCAGAUUGACGGUACCGGGUGAGGAAGCACCGGCUAACUCUGUGCCAGCAGCCGCGGUAAUACAGAGGGUGCGAGCGUUGUCCGGAAUCACUGGGCGUAAAGGGCGCGUAGGCGGCUCGGUAAGCGUGUGGUGAAAGCCCGGGGCUCAACCCCGGGUCUGCCGUGCGAACUGUCGAGCUGGAGCACAGUAGAGGCGGGUGGAAUUCCGGGUGUAGCGGUGGAAUGCGUAGAUAUCCGGAAGAACACCGGUGGCGAAGGCGGCCCGCUGGGCUGUUGCUGACGCUGAUGCGCGACAGCGUGGGGAGCAAACAGGAUUAGAUACCCGUGUAGUCC